rnacentral:rRNA from 1 species
CGUGUAGGCGGUUCGGUAAGUGGAAUGUGGAAGCCCCCGGCUUACCCGGGGAACUGCAUCCCAUACUGCUGGACUUGAGUGCGGGAGAGGAUGGAGGAAUUCCUGGUGUAGCGGUGAAAUGCGUAGAUAUCAGGAGGAACACCUGUGGCGAAGGCGUCCAUCUGGCCCGUUACUGACGCUGAUGCGCGAAAGCUAGGGGAGCAAACG